rnacentral:rRNA from 2 species
UAAUACCGGAUAAUAUAUUGAACCGCAUGGUUCAUUGUUGAAAGACGGUUUCGGCUGUCACUUAUAGAUGGACCCGCGCCGUAUUAGCUAGUUGGUAAGGUAACGGCUUACCAAGGCAACGAUACGUACCCGACCUGAGAGGGUGAUCGGCCACACUGGAACUGAGACACGGUCCAGACUCCUACGGGAGGCAGCAGUAGGGAAUCUUCCGGGAUGGGCGAAAGCCUGACGGAGCAACGCCGCGUGAGUGAUGAAGGUCUUAGGAUCGUAAAACUCUGUUGUUAGGGAAGAACAAUUUUGUUAGUAACUGAACAAGUCUUUGACGGUACCUAACCAGAAAGCCACGGCUAACUACUUGCCAGCAGCCGCGGUAAUUACGUA